GUAGGCUGAUACUUUGGGGUAGAGAAGCGUUCGUACCGGAAUUAGGGACUAGAAUGAAUGGCUAAACGAGGGUUCAACUGUCUCUUACUUUCAAUCAGUGAAAUUGACCUUCCAGUGAAGAGGCUGGAAUACUACAAUAAGACGAGAAGACCCUAUGGAGCUUUAAUUUACUAGUUUAAUUUAUACAGUAACAACCUAAUGGACCAAAACAAAAUAAAUAUAAACUAAAAAUUUCGGUUGGGGUGACCUCGGAGAAUAAAAAAUCCUCCGAAUGAUUUUAACCUAGACCCACAAGUCAAAGUAAUAUUAAUAUCUUAUUGACCCAAUUAUUGAUCAACGGACCAAGUUACCCUAGGGAUAACAGCGCAAUCCUAUUUAAGAGUUCAUAUCGACAAUUAGGGUUUACGACCUCGAUGUUGGAUCAGGACAUCCCAAUGGUGCAGAAGCUAUUAAUGGUUCGUUUGUUCAACGAUUAAAGUCCUACGUGAUCUGAGUUUCAGGACCGGA
rnacentral:rRNA from 1 species